rnacentral:rRNA from 1 species
GUGGGGAAUAUUGGACAAUGGGCGAAAGCCUAAUCCAGCCAUGCCGCGUGAACGAUGAAGGCCUUCGGGUUGUAAAGUUCUUUAGCCGAUGAUUAUAAUGACUGUAGUCGGAAAAUAAGCCCCGGCUAACUUCGUGCCAGCAGCCGCGGUAAUACGAAGGGGGCGAGCGUUAUUCGGAAUCACUGGGCGUAAAGCGUGCGUAGGCGGUUUUGUAAGUUAGGAGUGAAAGCCCAGGGCUCAACCUUGGAAUUUCUCUUAAAACUGCAAGGCUCGAAUCUCGGAGAGGAUAGCGGAAUUUCCAGUGUAGCAGUGAAAUGCGUAGAUAUUGGAAGGAACACCAGUGGCGUAAGCGGCUAUCUGGACGAGUAUUGACGCUGAGGCACGAAAGCGUGGGGAUCAAACAGGAUUAGAAACCCUGGUAGUCC